UGCGUAGGCGGUUAUGAAAGUUAGGAGUGAAAGCCCAGGGCUCAACCUUGGAAUUGCUUUUAAAACUACAUGACUCGAAUUCGAUAGAGGAUGGCGGAAUUAUCAGUGUAGCAGUGAAAUGCGUAGAUAUUGAUAGGAACACCGGUGGCGUAGGCGGCCAUCUAGAUCGACAUUGACGCUGAGGUACGAAAGCGUGGGGAGCAAACAGGAUUAGAUACCCUGGUAGUCCACGCCUUAAACUAUGUGUGCUUGUCGUCGGGGGUUUUAACCUUCGGUGACGGAGCUAACGCGUUAAGCACACCGCCUGGGAAGUACGGUCGCAAGAUUGAA
rnacentral:rRNA from 1 species